rnacentral:rRNA from 1 species
UACGGAAGGCAGCAGUGGGGAAUAUUGCACAAUGGGCGCAAGCCUGAUGCAGCCAUGCCGCGUGUAUGAAGAAGGCCUUCGGGUUGUAAAGUACUUUCAGUCGUGAGGAAGGUGUUAAGGUUAAUAACCUUAGCAAUUGACGUUAGCGACAGAAGAGGCACCGGCUAACUCCGUGCCAGCAGCCGCGGUAAUACGGAGGGUGCGAGCGUUAAUCGGAAUUACUGGGCGUAAAGGGCACGCAGGCGGUUAAUUAAGUUGGAUGUGAAAUCCCCGGGCUUAACCUGGGAAUGGCAUUCAAGACUGGUUAGCUAGAGUCUUGUAGAGGGGGUAGAAUUCCAUGUGUAGCGGUGAAAUGCGUAGAGAUGUGGAGGAAUACCGGGUGGCGAAGGCGGCCCCUGGGACAAAGACUGACGCUCAUGUGCGAAAGCGUGGGGAGCAAACAGGAUUAGAUACC